UGGGGAAUAUUGGACAAUGGGCGCAAGCCUGAUCCAGCCAUGCCGCGUGAGUGAUGAAGGCCCUAGGGUUGUAAAGCUCUUUCACCGGUGAAGAUAAUGACGGUAACCGGAGAAGAAGCCCCGGCUAACUUCGUGCCAGCAGCCGCGGUAAUACGAAGGGGGCUAGCGUUGUUCGGAUUUACUGGGCGUAAAGCGCACGUAGGCGGACUUUUAAGUCAGGGGUGAAAUCCCGGGGCUCAACCCCGGAACUGCCGUUGAUACUGGAAGUCUUGAGUAUGGUAGAGGUGAGUGGAAUUCCGAGUGUAGAGGUGAAAUUCGUAUAUAUUCGGAGGAACACCAGUGGCGAAGGCGGCUCACUGGACCAUUACUGACGCUGAGGUGCGAAAGCGUGGGGAGCAAACAGG
rnacentral:rRNA from 1 species